AGGACGAACGCUGGCGGCGUGCCUAACACAUGCAAGUCGAACGAGGUCCAUGCAGUGGCAACACUGCGGAAGACCUAGUGGCGAACGGGUGAGUAACACGUGAGGAACUUGCCCCGGAGACCGGGAUAACCCUCCGAAAGGAGAGCUAAUACCGGAUGUACUCACCGAGCCGCAUGGCUUGGUGAGGAAAUGGAUUCCGCUCCGGGAGAGCCUCGCGGCCUAUCAGCUAGUUGGUGGGGUAACGGCCCACCAAGGCAUCGACGGGUAGCUGGUCUGAGAGGACGAUCAGCCACACUGGGACUGAGACGACGGCCCAGACUCCUACGGGAGGCAGCA
rnacentral:rRNA from 1 species